UUCCGUGGUACGUUCUUGAGAAGAAAAAAGUACCUUCAAAGUAUGUAAAGGCAAUCAAGGAUAUGUAUGAUGGUGUUACUACAUGUGUGAAGACUUGUAAUGGCACAUCAAGUUAUUUUCCAAUCACAGUAGGCUUACACCAAGGUUCCGCUUUGAGUCUUUAUCUUUUUGCCCUAGUUAUGGAUGAGCUAACAAAAGAUAUCCAAGAUGAGGUGCCGUGAUGUAUGCUAUUUGCAGAUGAUAUUGUGCUUAUUGAUGAGACCAAGGCUGGGAUUGGCGCUAAAUUAGAAUUAUGGAGAAACACGCUGGAGUCUAAAGGAUUUAUGUUAAGUCGAAAUAAGACCGAAUACAUGAAGUGUGAGUUCAACACGGCAAGAGGAGAAGAUCAAGAAUCCGUAAAUAUGCUCGGACGGGAGAUACCCAAGAAAGAUGCUUUUAGAUAUCUAGGAUCAAUAUUGCAAAAGGGAAAAGAGAUUGAUGAGAAUGUAAGCCAUAGAAUUAGAGCAGGUUGGAUGAAUUGGUGCAGUGCAUCACGGUUUUUGUGUGAUCGCAAAAUCCCUCUUAGGCUAAAAGGAAAAAUUUAUAGAACAAGAAGGCCCGCAAUGCUAUACGGAGCUGAAUGUUGGCCAACACAGAAGCGAUAUAAGCAUAAAAUGGGAGUAGCGAAAAUGAGGAUGUUAAGGUGAAUGUGUAGUCAUAUAAGGAUGGAUAAGAUAAGAAAUAAAGAUAUUCGACGAAAAGUUGGAGUAGUACCGAUGGCGGAAAAGAUGAAAGAACAUAGAUUGAGAUGGUUUGGGCAUAUUCUUCAAAGAUUCCUCGAUGCUACGAUAAGAACAGAAGUUUAUUACCGAGAGCGUGACAUAAAGAAAGGAAGAGAUCAGCCGAAACUAACUUGGGGGAAAGUAGUAAAACAAGAUUUAAUGAAGAGGGAAAUAGAUUAGCGUACGAUUUGUCUUAGAACGGAGUGAAAGAAAGCCAUUAGCAUUGUGGAGGGCGAGAUUUCCUAUUU